UACGAAGGGUGCAAACGUUGCUCGGAAUUAUUGGGCGUAAAGCGCGCGUAGGCGGCUUGGCAAGUCGGAUGUGAAAUCCCUCGGCUUAACCGGGGAACUGCGUGUGAUACUGGAUGGCUUGAGUUUGGGAGAGGGAUGCGGAAUUCCAGGUGUAGCGGUGAAAUGCGUAGAUAUCUGGAGGAACACCGGUGGCGAAGGCGGCAUCCUGGACCAAUACUGACGCUGAGGAGCGAAAGCCAGGGGAGCAAACGGG
rnacentral:rRNA from 1 species